AGCGAACGCUGGCGGCAUGCUUAACACAUGCAAGUCGCACGGGCAGUAGCAACCCUGGCAGUGGCGACGGGUGAGUAACGCGUAGGAAUCUAUCCUGGGUGGGGGACAACCGUGGGAAACUACGGCUAAUACCGCAUGAUGCCUGAGGGCCAAAGACGAAAGUCGUUGAGGAGGAGCCUGCGUCUGAUUAGGUAGUUGGUGGGGUAAAGGCCUACCAAGCCCUACGAUCAGUAGCUGGUCUGAGAGGAUGAUCAGCCACAUUGGGACUGAGACACGGCCCAAACUCCUACGGGAGGCAGCAGUGGGGAAUAUUGGACAAUGGGCGCAAGCCUGAUCCAGCAAUGCCGCGUGGGUGAAGAAGGUCUUCGGAUUGUAAAGCCCUUUUGGCGGGGACGAUGAUGACGGUACCCGCAGAAUAAGCUCCGGCUAACUUCGUG
rnacentral:rRNA from 1 species